GAUGAACGCUGGCGGCGUGCCUAAUACAUGCAAGUCGAGCGAACAGAUGAGGAGCUUGCUCCUCUGACGUUAGCGGCGGACGGGUGAGUAACACGUGGAUAACCUACCGAUAAGACUGGGAUAACUUCGGGAAACCGGAGCUAAUACCGGAUAAUAUAUUGAACCGCAUGGUUCAAUAGUGAAAGACGGUUUUGCUGUCACUUAUAGAUGGAUCCGCGCCGCAUUAGCUAGUUGGUAAGGUAACGGCUUACCAAGGCGACGAUGCGUAGCCGACCUGAGAGGGUGAUCGGCCACACUGGAACUGAGACACGGUCCAGACUCCUACGGGAGGCAGCAGUAGGGAAUCUUCCGCAAUGGGCGAAAGCCUGACGGAGCAACGCCGCGUGAGUGAUGAAGGUCUUCGGAUCGUAAAACUCUGUUAUUAGGGAAGAACAAAUGUGUAAGUAACUAUGCACGUCUUGACGGUACCUAAUCAGAAAGCCACGGCUAACUACGUG
rnacentral:rRNA from 1 species